rnacentral:tRNA from 1 species
GGUAGUGUGGCUGAGCGGUCUAAGGCGCUGGAUUAAGGCUCCAGACUCUUUGGAGGCGUGGGUAUGAAUUCCACCGCUGCUA